GGGAUUUGCAUACUGAUAAGCAAGCUUAGCUAAAACUGUGAGCAACUUCAUUAUUUUCUAUGCGAGCUCAAGAAACUGAAACAUCAGCUGAUUGCUGAAGCAGAACACGGCAAAUCUUGGAUAAUAGCGCCAAACUCAAACCAGUCUUCUUUGGCAUUACUGAUGGCGCCAGCUACUUUUUGAGCAUUAGUCUCUAUGAUCACUUUCGAAUAAUUAGCUUGGAGAAGCCAAUGAAGGGCCGAGCGAGCACAAACGCUUUCAUGUCCAAGAAGUGAAAGUAGGC
rnacentral:misc_RNA from 1 species